UAAAUUUUCCUUGUUUUUAUCAAUCCACCCAAACCAAACCCAGAAGACUCUUGACUCUUGGUCUCCCUCUCUCUCAGGGACGACUCACCAUCACUUUAGCCCCCAUCGCUCACCGUUGAUCUUCCACCAUCGUUCACCGUCGAUCUUCCACCGUCACACACUGCCACCGCCGUUGCUCGCCUCGCAGCUCCUCGCAUUGCAUUGCUUCGACAUUGAGGAUCGGGACAGUUAUUGGAAGAUGAUGCAGAAAUAUAUAGGUUUGAUGUCACAUCAAUGGUGACACUCCCAGUUAUCAUUUUUGAGCCAAUGUCAAUGCUUCAAAAAAUGGCAGAGAUGAAUGUGAGGAUCUCUACAUGUGAUUGGUUUAUGCUUCAUCCUUCUUUAUAACAAUCUAUUAUGCCUGCCAACGAACCUGAAGUCAUUUAAUCCAAUUCUUGGUGAAACUUAUGAAAUGGUCAAUCAUGGAGGUGUUAAAUUCAUUGCAGAAUAGAUGGCUUGGUUUCGUGGACUUGUGGAUAAUCCAUAUUGGUGUACAGAGAAGAAUUUUCACUUUUGUGUAGAACUAAUAUAAUACUUUUGUCGUUCUCAGUUUUUGUGUAGUUCAUUAUUACUGAUACAAAAAACUUUUGGCAAUCAACAGAUAAUGACUGUUGUGGUACAUAGAUUACCUUCUAUCGUGGUACAUAUAUACCAUUUGUUGGCGUACAUAUAGGACGUUUUGUCAUGGUCCAUAGAAAAUUUUUGUCGUGGUACAUAUAUCACCUUUUGUUGUGGUACAGAUUACGAUGGUAAUUUGUACCAUGCCAAAUGGUAAUUUCGCUUGGA